rnacentral:rRNA from 1 species
UGGGGAAUAUUGCACAAUGGGCGCAAGCCUGAUGCAGCCAUGCCGCGUGUGUGAAGAAGGCCUUCGGGUUGUAAAGCACUUUCAGCGAGGAGGAAGGUGGUGAACCUAAUACGUUCAUCAAUUGACGUUACUCGCAGAAGAAGCACCGGCUAACUCCGUGCCAGCAGCCGCGGUAAUACGGAGGGUGCAAGCGUUAAUCGGAAUUACUGGGCGUAAAGCGCACGCAGGCGGUUUGUUAAGUCAGAUGUGAAAUCCCCGGGCUCAACCUGGGAACUGCAUUUGAAACUGGCAAGCUAGAGUCUCGUAGAGGGGGGUAGAAUUCCAGGUGUAGCGGUGAAAUGCGUAGAGAUCUGGAGGAAUACCGGUGGCGAAGGCGGCCCCCUGGACGAAGACUGACGCUCAGGUGCGAAAGCUUGGGGAGCAAACAGGAUUAGAUACCCUGGUAGUCCACGCUGUAAACGAUGUCGAUUUGGAGGUUGUGCCCUUGAGGCGUGGCUUCCGGAGCUAACGCGUUAAAUCGACCGCCUGGGGAGUACGGCCGCAAGGUUAAAACUCAAAGGAAUUGAC